UACGAAGGGGGCUAGCGUCGUUCGGAAUCACUGGGCGUAAAGCGCACGCAGGCGGAUCGUUAAGUCAGGGGUGAAAUGCCGAGGCUCAACCUCGGAACUGCCUUUGAUACUGGCGAUCUUAGAGUCCGGGAGAGGUGAGUGGAACUCCGAGUGUAGAGGUGAAAUUCGUAGAUAUUCGGAAGAACACCAGUGGCGAAGGCGGCUCACUGGCCCGGUACUGACGCUCAGGUGCGAAAGCGUGGGGAGCAAACAGG
rnacentral:rRNA from 1 species